UCAGAGCAGGCUGCGACGCCGGCGGCGGGCCAGAGCUGAAGCGGCGGAGGUGUGUAGCGGAGCCGGGCCUGGGCAGACGGGGGCCGAAGCACCAGGCUCUGCGUCGGCGGCUCCGGGGCGGGGGCGCCAGCGGCGAAGCCCCCUCCCCGGGGAGGCGGGGCCAGGCCGACGCCUGGGAAUCAUGCAUCAGAAGCUGCUGAAGAGUGCGCACUACAUCGAGCUGGGCAGCUACCAGUACUGGCCGGUCCUGGUGCCCCGAGGCAUCCGCCUCUACACCUAUGAACAGAUCCCGGUGUCCCUCAAAGACAACCCCUACAUCACCGACGGCUACAGGGCCUACCUACCCUCCAGGCUGUGUAUCAAAAGCUUGUUUAUUUUGUCCAACGAGACGGUAAACAUCUGGAGUCAUUUGCUGGGCUUCUUUCUCUUCUUCACGCUGGGGAUCUAUGACAUGACGUCCGUGCUGCCGUCGGCCAGCGCAUCCAGAGAAGACUUUGUGAUCUGCUCCAUCUGCCUUUUCUGCUUCCAGGUCUGCAUGCUUUGCUCGGUGGGCUAUCAUCUUUUUUCCUGUCAUCGGUCAGAAAAGACGUGUCGGAGGUGGAUGGCAUUGGACUAUGCAGGGAUCUCUAUCGGCAUCCUGGGCUGCUAUGUCUCGGGAGUAUUUUAUGCGUUUUAUUGCAAUAAUUACUGGCGCCAAGUGUACCUGAUCACCGUGCUCGCCAUGAUCCUGGCAGUGUUCUUCGCACAGAUCCACCCCAGUUACCUCACACAGCAGUGGCAGAGGCUCCGCCCCAUCAUCUUCUGCUCGGUGUCGGGAUAUGGAGUGAUCCCCACUCUUCACUGGGUUUGGCUCAAUGGAGGAAUCAGUGCUCCCAUUGUACAGGACUUCGCUCCCCGAGUGAUUGUGAUGUACGUGAUUGCUCUUCUUGCUUUCCUGUUCUACAUCUCCAAAGUCCCGGAACGGUACUUCCCAGGACAGCUAAACUACCUGGGGUCAAGCCACCAGAUCUGGCACGUCCUUGCAGUGGUGAUGCUGUACUGGUGGCAUCAGUCCACAGUGUACGUCAUGCAGUACAGACACAGCAAGCCUUGCUCUGACUUUGUGUCCCAUCUGUGACUCCAGAAAAGAGGCCAAGUGCAUUUUCUUAAAUCCUUAACCAUGAACUCUUGGAGAGCAGAGGACAUAACUGAGACAGACUCUAUGAUGAAAGAACUGAACAGAAGUUUGUGAUGAAACUUUUAAUGAUACAAAUAGUAAUAAUAAAACUCCAAAGGCAUUGGCUAUGAAGAAUAAGCGAUCCGUUUGGGAUUUAUUGCAUUUAAAGACGGCAGAUUAUUAAAACAGUAGGUAUGAUAAAUACAGUAAGAAAAUAACUUUAAAUCUCAAACAAAACAGUGAACAGAAUUCAAGACUAAGCAAUGUAAAGGCAAUAAGGUAACAAAAUUAGUGCUUUACUGGGUACAGGGAAAGUAACUGAAGUCUAUCUCAAACUCUUCCCGGCUACAUUUGAGGGCUUAAGUUACUUUAGCAAGUAUGUCUUAUAACAAUUAGAAAUAUAACUAAGGAUAUAAACCCAGUUUAUUUAAAAAUUAAAGUUAUUUGCUUAGUGGUACAUAAAAGGCUUCAGAAAAUUCAAGUUUAACAAAAAAAAAAAAAAAAAGGAAGUGUAAUCAAAGAAAGUGCACUUAAAGCCGUUUGCCAGCAAUUAAAGGGCUCUUCCAGGCUGGAGGUGUGGCUCAGCCCUAAAGCGCUUGCCCAGCAUGUGCAAGGCCCUGGGUUCAGUUCCCAGCACCGCAAAAGAAAGAACAAGUGGCAAUUACUCCUUCUAGUAUAGGAUGAUCUCUCAGUCACAAAAAGAACAUAGUAAUAAAAUCAGUCUUCCUGUAGCACUGUGAACUUUAAUUAAAAAAAAAUAACCUAAACCAGACCCAGCCCUCUGUAUUUUCAUCUACUUCUUCCUUUUAGUGGCUUUUGUAAACUUCGUCACUAGGAGUGAAUGCUCUUAAGAGAAACGAUUGCCUUUUUAAAUUCACAUUAAUUCCGUAGUGGAGAGCCUCGAUGUGCCUGUGUCUUUUUAUCUUAGUAGAGAACACCACCGAGUGUAAAUUUUUUCCAACAGUCAUCUGUUGUUCUCUCAGUAGACUCAGUAGACUGUCAACUCAGUAACUGAAUGUAAAUUGAUGACUAGUUUUGCUUAGAAAUAAAAGAAAAAGAAUGACAGAGUUCACUGCGCAUUCUACAUGUAUUAAACAGAUAAUACCUAACUCCCCACAGGUAGUGACAUUAAUACAUGUGCGCCUUCUGACAGUGCUUUAGUGAAGUGCCCAAAUCUGGAUAACCCAAGGGAGGCACACCCAAGACUGGCUCCACCUUCGUAUUUUCCGUCAGGAAGAGGAGAGUAGUCAGUCCCUGUUAAACAGGGUAGGACUGAUCGCAAGGUGCGCAGAUCCGAGAGCCACGUGACUUCAUAAAUGCCCAGGGUACACAGCUCAGGGGAGGGGCACUCAGUGCUUAAAAUUCUGGUCGGUUCCAUUCUCACCCAACUUGGAGUAGUCCUUUUCUCCAACUACAUACCGAGAACGUCUGUGCCUUAGUAGAUCCAUUUCUUAAGUGCCCUGAAAGAUCCUCUGGUAAUACUAGCGUUUUGCUGACGUGAUCAAAGUAAAGCAAGUAGUCCACUUUUUAAGAAAAGAUUCCAAGUUAAUGAGCACAGUUAAAGCUUCUAGGUGACACCUUUGGCCUCAGACUUUCGAGCUGGGUUCCUAACGUGACUUCCCUUCGAUGUUCAAGUCUAACAGGUUUAGUUAGAACUGCUUUGCACACUGGGAAGCACAAGGCACACCCAAAUGACAUUCUUUAAACCAGAACUGGGCCGUCCCAUAACAGAGCCAGCCUUUCAGUGAGUGCUGGGUGCUGGGUGCUGGGUGCUGGGUGCUAAGUGCUCUCUUGUGCAAGAGAAAAUGUAACGCAAAGGAGCCGCCCCUUGGACCUCCAGUGAAACAGUCUGUCCAAUGAGAUGGUCUCGAGAGGCGCGUCACCCGCUGGGCUGUUGGAGGCAAUGUAAACAUUUUAGGCUGUGGCACAGCUGUUUCCUAAGGAUUUGUCCAGCAUUAGCCGGAGGGGCUGCGAGUGAAUCACUUCUAAGUAUUCAGUGCAGUGAAAGGCGAGUGGAACUCUGACUUCAUAGUCACAACUCAUUACUUUAGGAGGAAAGCAUUUCUGUUCGGUAGCGUAGAGGGCCUACUGCCAUUUGCAUUAGUGAGAAUAAUCAACCUGAGAACCAGACAGAAAGGUGCAAACACAGCCUCUGCCUUUGGCACAAGGACAUUAAGUGGUGCAGCCCUGUUCUGGGUGGCGGUGUGACGUGACCUGUCCUGUCCACACUACCCUGGCUGAGCUGGCAGAGGAGGAGACAACCAUAAAAAGGGACCUCGGCUUGGUUUUGUGUUUCACUUCUUUCCAGGUUCUGAACUCUGAGAGUAGGCAAAUGAUGUGUCCUCUGUGGGCACUAAAGUUAAGGUUUUAAGAAGAUUACUUAUUAAGGGACACUAACUGGGGCAAAGUUAAAACACAGCUACCAAUAGCAAUAGCUGUUGAUCUAGAAACUUCGAAUGCUCAUCUGUAAAGACAUCUAAUCAUAACUUAGGACAGACAGAGGAAGCACGGACAGUACAUUCACAUUAACUGAUGUAUAACUAUUACCACUGACCACAACUACAAAAUUUCAAGUUUCUCAUUAGGACUGGUGAUGUAUUUUAAAGGCAAUUUGGUAGUUUAGUUCUUUUCACUAUCAAUGCAAUCGGGUAGCAGAAUUAAGCUCCUAGUCCCACCAUCUAGUUCUUCCACCCACUGAGGGUCUGGCUGUCAGUGCUGAGGGACUGGGUGGCACUGCUGGAGCACUGUAGUAGAACUGCCCCCUCUCACCCUGAAGGAAGGAACUGCAGCCCAGGACUCUGCCCUGCUGGAGGAGGGAAGUGCUGUCAUAAAGUGUGUCAGUAAAUGCAACAUGAUUUUACAUUGUAAACUUCUUUAAAAAAUUAAAGUUUCAGCUACAUUGUUUCUGAAAUUAAAUUUCUAUAUACCCUGCCCCUCCCCUUUCUAUGAAGGUACUUCAGUAGGGACAUGAUGAUAAAGGUUUUGGCAAAUACCCACUCAAAGACAAAGUAUUUCUCAAGUACCAGAUGGUGCUUUUCUUUUUGAUGUGUCAUUCUUUUACAUUUUUUUUUCAAAUGCCAGAUAUUUCUCUUUAUAUUUUUGUUCUAGGCUUCUAUUAAGCAUUCCACAUUGUAAAAAUUUUUUCUUGACAGAUUAAAAACCGCAUAUAUAUUACCAUGUAAUGUCUUGCUCUAUACACCGUAGAAGGGCUAGACUGAGCUAAUAUAUACAUCAUUUCAUAUCCUUAUCAUCACAGAGUCCAUUGUUAAUGGCACUUGGUUUUUUGUUUUUAAUGCAACAGUUUUUUAGGCACAAUAGUCAGUUUCUUGUGGCUCUACCUUACAGAGAAGUGUAUGGAGAGCACACUCUAGACUCUUCCCUCGUGGGUGGAAACAGUCAGCCUGCCUGGCUUCAAAUGCUGGAUCUAGGGUGUGCCCCUACGUGACAUCUUGAUAUCCGAAGUGAUGGCUCUCCUGUCCCUAGCGGUACACACCAGCUUUCCCAGGAAGCCCCACGGGUGAACCUCUGAGCUGUCAGUAGCAAAAGCCCUUGGCUUUCGAUUUAGGCCUUCUCCUGCUUGAAGAAGGCAUCAACUUACUACCCUGUACAAAUAAUUCCAUUUGGUUUAUUUAAAAAUCACCUAUCCUGAUUAACCUGUGAGAGUGAGUGAAUGAUAUAAACAACUAUACAAAUACAUUUCUUCCAGAUUCAUAAAACUAUUCAUACUUUUUUGAACAGGAGUAUCGCUGAGUCCACCUGAAGUGUCUACUGUUUAGAAGGGAAUGGAGCAGCACCGAAGGGGUCUAAUUCCACCGGCUGGGACUGCUGCGGAGAGACGCUCUGCACCACGAGUUCUGUAAAGGGCACGGCACCAAAGUCAUCCAUUCUCAAUGCGUCUGCGCUGUGGAAUGACCCAUGUACUGAAUUCUGUCGUGGUCUCCCAGGCAGAAUGGCGGUGUGAUCCACACAGAUGUCGCUUAGGCCCUGAUGGGUCUGGUGCCACAAGUCUGGAGGAUGAAAAGGCUUGGCACCAAAAGGGUCCAGCAGACUCUCAUCGGGUGGCAGGACGCUGGCCCUGUCUUUGCCAUCGGUCAGCGCGACGCUGAUGUUCUCCUUGGAGUCCGAAAUUGUUAAGAACUCAUUGCUGCUUUGUGAGUCUCUGCGGCCCACCCUCUUGUGCCUGCGGGCCCUCUCGGGUGUGCGGUAGGGAGGCUUCAGGGGCUUCUUGGCGCUGGUGGGUGUGCCGUGAUGCCGCUUCCCGUUGCUUUUCGACACAUCCUGCUUCGUGCGCCUCUGGCGAGAGGACAGUUUCUGCAAGCUACGCUGCUUGACUUUUUGCUGCUGCUGCUGACUCCCGGUUAUUUCCUCAAAGGGCACGAGCCCAAAAACAUCCUCCUUGCUUUCACUUUUACUGGCUGCUGUGGAAAAUGGCUGAAAGGGAGUGGAGCCAAAUAUGUCUACACUUCUGGGUCGUGCAGGCAGGGGGCGAGUGUCUGGCCGCACGGCGGGCCAGUCCUGUACGGUGACCUUCUUGCUGAAGGGUGCCUUUGUGAACACGUCAUAUUCCUCCUGCUCUGGAAACAUCUGCUGGGAGACGCUCUUCCCACUCCCUCUGUGCUGCAGCUCUGGAGCAGGCACUGCAAAGAAGGGAACAGCACCGAACACAUCGAACUCCUGACUGGGAGUCAGCGCGGGUGAACUGGCAGGCUCCGGGGCACCACCAGGUUUGUUUCUGCGCAAGGAGCUCGAUUCUCCUCCCUUGGCUUUUGCCUGUUCACACUCCGAGUCAGAGCUGUGUUUGUCGUCCUCCUCCUCAUCUUCGGAGUCCAUGAGCAGAGGCCUGUGACCCAGGUUCUCUGGCUCAGUGUCCUCAUCAUUAAAGUCCCCGUGUUCUCCCUGUGCGUCUUCAUCCUCUUGUUCUUCUUCACUGCUCUUGGGAGAAGGGGGGUCUGAUUCAAAUUCACUUUCAGACUCGUCAUUUCCCUUCUGUGCGUGACCCCUAACUACAGGAUUCUCUGAGGUUUUCUGUCCAGCUUUACAUAUCGGACUUGAGCUUCCAUUUUUGGUUGGGUGUGCAGUGAUAUUUUUCUGGUUUGGAGAAUGUUCCGUUUUCUUUUCAGGAGAACCUAAAAGUUCAAAGAAAAAUCAUUACAGUCCUCAGAGCAACUUGGAACAUCCAUUAUGUGACUAGCUACCUAUCAGGAAUCUUUUAGUGGCUCUGAGACGUUCCGCCCUGUGUGUGGUGAACUGUCCUGUCCUGCCUUCAGCUGCAAACUCCGAUGUCUUCUAUGAUACUACCUAUUACAGGCAUAGCUGAGCUCUUCCUGUGACAACUCAGGAACGGAGUAGCAACCCGGGUCCAUCAAACGUGCUGUCAGAAUCAGGACCUCAGCACACUUGAGGGGGAUCAACAAUGCUGUGCUGUCCUAACACCUCUCUGUUCUGUAGUAUCACACCUUACGACUCGCUGACGGACCCCGCCCACAGGACAGACCUCCAGGACUACAGAGAUGCCCUGACGCUUGGUGACUCAUAGAACCCUCAACUGCAGGCUGCUCUAGUGUUGUGGCUGCCAACCACUCCUACUUAGCAUCUCUCUGUGUCCUAGCUCUGCGCACACGUGUUACUAAAAUGACUGCUCCAAGGUUAGCCACUGGCAUAGAUAGGAAGGAGUAUAAUGAAAAUUCAGUCACCAUAUGGAGGCAUUUUUAGCUCAGAAUUCAAUUACUUGCAUUUUCUUACUACAUUUAACGAACAAAUAUCUUUUUUUAGGAGUUUGCACUCAGUGUCAGUACUGAAAAUUUUCCAAUGUGCAGGAAAAUCACAGGAGGGAAAAUGGGUGCAUAAAACUAAACCUCCCUCUGGCAGUCAGUAAAGGUCUCCCUAAGGAGCGGUCAGGACUGAACCACGAGAAAGGGCCAGCCAUACAAAGGGCAAGCUGCUAGCUGCUCCAGACCACAAGCUCUGGUACCCUGAGGCAGUGAAAGCGGGCAAGUGUGGCUGAAGCAUGGUGAGAAAAGGGGGCUGCUACACUGCUCGGAACCCGUGUGAAAGGCUAAGCGUUCCCAUGUGCGUUGUAGCCUCAGUGCUGGGGAGACAAGGAGGAGCCACUGGUGCUCCCUGGCGAGCUGGCCUAGCCCACUAUGGGAGUUCUAGGACAGUGAGAGACCUUAACUUAAUGAAAGAGAGGGAGGGGGACAGAGCAUAUGGGACAGUGGGAAAGGAACAAAGGACAAAGGGUGUUCAGAGAGCAAGAACACUCAUCUCUAGGGCUGACACCUGAGGUUAGUCCCUGGGAUCCUCAUGGUGACUCCCCAAGCUGUGCUCUGACCUUCUCAAGAGGGCUAGACAAGUGUGUGUGCACACACUCCUACACUAACUAAAUGUAGGGAUGACUUCUUAUGGUGGGCAGUACUUGAGAGGUGACACCGUGUUGUCCUCAGUGUCCACAGCGGGUGGAAAGACAAGGGACUAGAAAGAGAGCGUGAGCGAGGUGUGCUACUGUUUACCUGGGAAGAAUGGAUUAGGAACUGAGCAGAACAUUGCUCUGGGGCCCCAAUGCACAUGUGAAGUGCUUUAACACGAAGCUUAGUUUGAGCUGCAGAAGACAGAUUCGGAAGGUAUCACUUUGUGAUACACAGAGAGAAGGCACAGACUUCAGGGUUAUCACCUAAUGAGAUAAAGGGCAAAACUGAGCCCGAGGGCUGAAACCCAGGAGUCGGCCAAGGAGGAGAAGCUGUCGGUAAGCGGUGCCAAACCAGGUGGGCAGAGUGCCUGGAAGCAGGACAAGUGUGUCCAGGGGAGUGACAGGCACCUGAGCCACACAGGGCAGCCCUAAGCAAUGGGGCCAAAGAAAAUGGCCCUAGGAGCCUAGUCACCUUGUGCAGUUUAGUGGUGAGGCAAGAGUGGCUGAUGGUGCAGACAAGCCCAUCGGGCUAUACCAACAUCAUGCCGUCCUCUGCCCAGUCCUUAAGAUUAGCUGAAAGCUUCAGUGCUGUUCAUCAUCCCAACAAACCAAAACCAAUGAGAUGCAGGUUCUCAUUUUCACUGUUCACUCACAUGGUGCUCCUCUGACAUAAAAAACAAGCAAACAGAAAACAGCAACAAAAAGUUACCUUAGGAGUAAUGGUGAACUCAUGGGCUUCUCUGAAGGCAAAACACACAUGGCUCCGGAAGAGAGAGUUACCCUCACUGAAGAACACUUCUCUAAGACGUUUAAGCCCUCACAGACGGCCAUGCAUACACCACGCACUCUGCCCAGACCCCUGGGGGACCAUGGAUUAAGCCUUUGACAAGAAUGAGACAAGCCGAUUGGUCUCAGGCAGCUCAACCUAGGGAAGGAUGCACCUGGCGCUCUGCCUCCAUUCUGUCUCGCCUGCAGGUUGCUACACAAAAGAAUCUAACUUUAUGGAACCCGGAAGGCCCCACAUUUGCGUUUCUCUACCUUCAUGAAGUAUGACCUGUUAACCUGUAUGAACAGAUGAGGAGGCAGGUCCUCGGGUAAAUGCUACCCUGCAGCUCCUCUAGAAAACGCUCCAUCCCCAGAGGCCUCCAGAACUCUUAACACAGCAGGGCUCACAGAGAGGCCAUCCACUGCACCUUUCUGUUCCCCUCACACCCCGAGUCCUCUCGUCCCAAGAUGACUGUUCGGUUCCACCGUGGCGGCUCCGUUCUGUCCAGAAGGCACCGGCUGCUUUUCCACUCUUCCUUCUGACCGCCCUUCCUCAACUACGUAGGAUCAGAUCCACAGAAGCAAACCUUUCUGCAGUGUAGAGAGCAGCACAGAGCCACCUCCAUAACUAACUGUGGGCAUAUAUUUGUUUGGUGUUUCCUUCCCAUCUUCAUGGACCCUUUCAAGUACCAACACAACCCAUGGUUUCUUGGCAAAGCUCGCUAAGACGAUGCACGUGCGUCCUUACGAUCGAGAGAAUGUCUAGGCGGUUUCUAGUUUUCUCACAGUUACAACAGGAAAACCAAGAUCUGUGCAUGUUUCCCUUGAGGGAGCAAAAUGGGAAAGCUACCCCUCUCUGGUGUCGCUUUCACUUUAGUCCACGUAGUACUGUUAUUUCCUUCCCACUUAUAACUAACAAAGAGCCAAGAGAAACACUCACCAGGAUGACAGCUAUUCUACUCUUAAACCAUGAAUGAAAUAGGGUGACAACAGGUUUUUAUUCCAUUUGCCUUGUUAAGAAUGCACCAAGGGAACAGGAGAGACUGCUUAGCUGUUAGGAGCACUGUCUGCUCUUCCUAAGACCUGGGUCAAUACCCACCACCCACAGGGAGGCUCACAACCACCUGGGGAAUCUGAUGCCCUUGUCUGGUCUCCUGGAAGACUGCAUACAUGUAGUACGCAGACAUACAUGUAGCCAAAACACCCAUACACUAACAAUAAAAGGAAAUCUUAAAGGGGGGAGGGUACCGACAGUGCCUGACACUAAAUGGGCUUUCUCAUCACCUGCAACAAGAGGCAAAUCACUUCACUUUCCCCAGCACACUCAACCAGCUUCCAGUAACGCGUAGGCACCAUGGGUGACUGACUCUAAUGUGAGCGAACACAUGAAGAAGCAAAAGGGAAGAAGAAAUUCUUGGCAAAAAAGAGAGAAAGGAAAAAAGAAAAGAAGAAACAACCAAAACAAAACCAAACCAAACCCCACAAUACUGAUCUACUUGAGAACUGAUCAAAAGCAAGUAUAUAAGCAGAUGUACAUCCACGUACCCAGAGUGAACUUGUAAUCCUGGGGAGUUCAUCUCUUUAAAUAUAACAGGAACACAGUGCAACAAGUAGGACAGAAAUGCUUUCAAAAUGAGCAGACAAAGUCACAAGCCACCAUGUUCGCCAGCUCCAGGACUGGCUUUGUAUAGACAGUGAUUUUAUUAGAGUCUCUCUCCUUCUUAAAACUAACACAACAAUAAAAGGCACUUCUCACAUCCCGUCUUACCCUACAUUCUCAGACCCCAGGGAGUCUCCACAUUCUUGAAAUGUCCCCAUCCCCCCAGUGCCUGCUCUUUUGUAAGCUACUUGAGUAAUGAGGCAAAGGCCAGCACCAGCAUCCAGGCCACCAGGCCACACAAGCUCACACAAGUCAGACUCUAGCACCAUCUGCUGAGGAAGCGGACUGCCAGCUGCCAGCUACCGGAAUCCCAGAUAUGAUCCACUUUCUGCACCGGCAGCCCAGCCAGUCACCCGCCAUUCCUUUACUGUGAACCUACUUAAGAGCAGAAAUAUGUAAACUAUACAAAAAUAAAAUCAGUUCCAGGAUCCCGUGGUUUUGGUUACUCCCCCAGAACCUCAAAUCCUGACACCUGUGUGUCUUAUGAACAAUGGGAUGAAUGCAUGACCUCCUUCUUCCUCCUGUGUAUCUUAAACCAUCUCUGUACAGACGGUUACAGACCCCAGCACAGCACCAUGCUUCAUACACCGUCGCCUGUAUAGGGGGUGGUAAGAGUGCACCCAGUAUAGGCACACCUUCUUUUAAUAUUUUUAGUGCGGAGUGGGCUGGGUCCGAGGGUGGAGAAAGACAACUGUAUCUUACAGCUUUUAGCCCUAUGCCACGGCACAAAGACAGCUCUCCCCAGGCCCCACCAGUCACCCAAAAGGCACUUCAAGCUGGCUGGAGUACCUUAACUUUAAUACACAGUGCCAGCUACAUAAUGACUUCUGGCUAAAAAGUGUCCUCGGCAUAUACAAACCAUUUCUUUGUCAAACAUAUUCCUCUAAUUUGUGAAAAAGAAAAAUUCAGAUGCCGAAAUAAAUACAGAAUGAGGACAAUGCCUCAGAUAUUCCUCUUUGCUUCUGGGAACAGAUUGCUUCUUCCCAGCUGUUAGAUUAAAUAAUACAUAUUUGAUUUAUUAUGAAAUUUAAUCAGGAUUAUCUCACUGCUAAAGUUAAAUUUCCUGAGAGUAUAGCCCAAAUAUGCUGCUUUGAAUUUCAGCAUCUCCUGUCGUCAUAAUCAUCUGAGAUUUGUAUUGUUAAUGUAAAAAUAGCAGUUUGAAGCAGGUGGAGACCUGGAACAGUCACAGGAAGUACUGGGCACGCUACUCACAGCACAGACCCCGAGACUGGCCCUUCUCUUGGUUCCACCGUUAGUGACUGGCCUCAUGUACUGGGCAGCUCAUCUGAUUUGGGUCUAACUGCCCUGUGAGCACAGCAGCGCUGUGAGCGGCACUGAGAGGGCUGGGAACGACAUGCUAGGCUUUGGAGUGUUUGAGCAAGAGGCAGUAUCAUCGGUGACAGGAAAGCAAGCGUAACAUCUUGUUAUAGAUUUAAUAAGCAAACGGCAGGGGUAAAUCUGUAUGGCCAAGCUGAUAUGUAUUAAUAAAUAAUAGCAAACCAAUCCUUUGUGAGCUAUUGAUUAUAUUCAGUCUCCCAAAUAAGAAAAUAAGUAAAUCUUAGUUGAAACAUAUUAAAUAGACUUUUAGUGAAAAAAUUCAAAA